GACGAACGCUGGCGGCGUGCUUAACACAUGCAAGUCGAACGGGCCUGUCUUCUUUUUUGGGGGUGGGUUGAGUGGCGAACGGGUGAGUAUCACGUGAGUAACCUGCCCUUCGGUCCUGGAUAACCGCUUGAAAGGGCGGCUAAUACGGGGUGGUCCGGUUGGUCCGCAUGGGCUGGUCGGGAUAGAUUCACUGUUUUUGGUGUUUCGGCGGGGGAUGGGCUCGCGGCCUAUCCGCUUGUUGGUGGGGUGAUGGCCUACCAAGGCGGUGACGGGUAGCCGGCCUGAGAGGGUGGGCGGCCACACUGGGACUGAGAUACGGCCCAGACUCCUGCGGGAGGCAGCAGUGGGGGGUAUUGCACAAUGGGCGGAAGCCUGAUGCAGCGACGUCGCGUGAGGGAUGGAGGCCUUCGGGUUGUGAACCUCUGUUUCCGGUGGUGAAGGCCCUGUCCGUGUGGUGGGGUUGACGGUAGCCGGGGAUGAAGCGCCGGCUAACUACGUG
rnacentral:rRNA from 1 species